UUAGAGGACUUUAACCUUUCAGCUUUCUUGGCCCCGGGAGUGCUCGGUCUCUGAUCAGCGGGGGCAUUUUCUCUAUAUAAGAAGAAGAUGGAGACUCCCUACCCACCCGAUGUAUUUUGUCGGACAGUUUUCUGUACAUUGCAGUCACCAAUAUAUCCAAAUAUCAUCACCGGCCCAGACGUCAUUCACUCCUUAGAACUGUGCUAGUAGCAGUAAGGUGUCAUCAUUUGAGAUGGUCACAGUAUCCAAUACUCUGAAGUCACAGGACUCAAAUUUCAUACAUGUUCACAGCUUCCUUGGCCCAGGGAGUGCUCGGUCUCUGAUCAGCGGGGGCAUUUUCUCGAUAUAAGAAGAAGAAGGAGACUCGCUACCCACCCGAUGUAUUUUGUCGGACAGUUUUCUGUACAUUGCAGUCCCCAUAAUAUCAAAAUAUCAUCACUGGCCCAAACGUCAUUCACUCCUUUUAACUGUGCUGGUAGCAGUAAG